GCCCGCGGAUAUCGAAGUCGGAAUCCUGCAGUCAGGCCUCAACUCGCCCCACCUCGCUCCUAAAGCGGGUGUCGCAGGUUCAAAUCCUGCCGCGGGUG
rnacentral:tRNA from 1 species